AUUGAACGCUGGCGGCAGGCUUAACACAUGCAAGUCGAGCGGGGGAGGUUACUUCGGUAACUGACCUAGCGGCGGACGGGUGAGUAAUGCUUAGCAAUCUGCCUAUUAGUGGGGGACAACAUUCCGAAAGGAAUGCUAAUACCGCAUACGCCCUACGGGGGAAAGCAGGGGAUCUUCGGACCUUGCGCUAAUAGAUGAGCCUCAGUCGGAUUUGCUAGUUGGUGGGGUAAAGGCCUACCAAGGCGACGAUCUGUAGCGGGUCUGAGAGGAUGAUCCGCCACACUGGGACUGAGACACGGCCCAGACUCCUACGGGAGGCAGCAGUGGGGAAUAUUGGACAAUGGGGGGAACCCUGAUCCAGCCAUGCCGCGUGUGUGAAGAAGGCCUUAUGGUUGUAAAGCACUUUAAGCGAGGAGGAGGCUCUUUUGGUUAAUACCCAGAAUGAGUGGACGUUACUCGCAGAAUAAGCACCGGCUAACUCUGUGCCAGCCGCCGCAGUAACAC
rnacentral:rRNA from 1 species